rnacentral:rRNA from 1 species
AGAAUCAACGCUGGCGGCGUGCCUAACACAUGCAAGUCGAACGAGAAAGUGGAGCAAUCCAUGAGUAAAGUGGCGCACGGGUGAGUAACACGUGACUAACCUACCCUUGAGUGGGGAAUAACUGAGGGAAACCUUGGCUAAUACCGCAUGAUACCUACGGGUCAAAGGAGCAAUUCGCUUAAGGAGGGGGUCGCGGCAGAUUAGCUAGUUGGCGGGUAAUGGCCCACCAAGGCAGUGAUCGGUA